GAUAAAGGAAAAGCUCAGGUAUGAAAGAAAGGCGACAAGGUGGUGAUGGUGAAGGUGUGUGAUGGCUGAACUAUGGAAGACUUGGGACAUUGUUGAGACUCAUUUAGAUUCUUUUAUCUGCUAGGAAAAUAAAGGAGUGUACAUGUUAUUUUGUUACUGCUAGAUUGGAGUUAUUUUGCAUUGUUAAUGGUUAAUUUAGAUUGGUAUUCUAAAAGUGUUGGAGCAGUUGGUUAGA